rnacentral:misc_RNA from 1 species
AUGAAUUAUUAGUAGCUUUGCAAGGACUUAAAGACGAAAUUUAAAUUAUAAAUCAAGAAAGAAGAUUCACGUUGAAGAUGAACAAGAAGAAGAAUUCGAAGAGCAGCUUGAUGAGAAUGAGGAACAAAAAAAGCAACCUCGAGAAAGUAAACUUGAAAAGUUUGAGAUUAAAGAAUCUGUAGAAUUGAGUUUUAAACAUUUACAUGUUGCAGAGUCGAUUCGAAAGCAAGAAGUUAAUCAAGUCUUAGAGCCCUUAAUGGAGAUUGAAAACAAUUAAGUCAUGGAGUCAACGAAAAAUGAUGAUCCUACUGAGUUAAAGACCCUUUCAACUAUUAUUCUAAUUGAUUUUAUACAUCUAGAUGUUUCAAGGAAUACAAAAGAGAGUGUAAACUUUUUCAAGUCAAUUUUUUUGUUACCAUCCAAGAAGAUUGUAUCGUGUAUUCUCCAUAUUUAGUUUGUGAUCAUUCAGCACUUC